UGGGGAAUAUUGCACAAUGGGGGAAACCCUGAUGCAGCGACGCCGCGUGAGUGAUGAAGUAUUUCGGUAUGUAAAGCUCUAUCAGCAGGGAAGAUAAUGACGGUACCUGACUAAGAAGCUCCGGCUAAAUACGUGCCAGCAGCCGCGGUAAUACGUAUGGAGCAAGCGUUAUCCGGAUUUACUGGGUGUAAAGGGAGCGCAGACGGCAGGGCAAGUCUGAUGUGAAAGUCCGGGGCUCAACCCCGGGACUGCAUUGGAAACUGUCCGGCUAGAGUGCAGGAGAGGUAAGUGGAAUUCCUAGUG
rnacentral:rRNA from 1 species